UAUAUACUCCUUCCGUUCCAAAAUUCUUGUCUUACAUUUGUCUAGAUACGAAUGUAUCUAAUACUAAAAUAUGACUUGAUACAUUCAUAUUUUAACAAAUCUAAGACAAGAAUUUUGGAAAAGAGAGAGUACUUA
rfam:Triticum aestivum genome assembly, contig: Triticum_aestivum_CS42_TGACv1_scaffold_146639_2BS